rnacentral:rRNA from 1 species
UAAUACGUAGGGGGCAAGCGUUGUCCGGAUUUAUUGGGCGUAAAGAGCGUGUAGGCGGCUAGGUAGGUCCGUUGUGAAAACUCGAGGCUCAACCUCGAGCUGUCGAUGGAAACCAUCUGGCUAGAGUCCGGAAGAGGAGAGUGGAAUUCCUGGUGUAGCGGUGAAAUGCGCAGAUAUCAG